CACUUUGGGAUCUUGUUAAAUUGUAGAUUGUGAUGUAAUAGGUCUGGGUUGGCUUGAUAUUCUGCAUGUCUAACAAGUGCCCAGGUCAUG
rnacentral:pre_miRNA from 1 species